rnacentral:lncRNA from 10 species
AUUUUCCAGAUCAACAAAAUCUAAGAUAAUUUGUUGGUAACAGGUUUAUACUUCAAGAUGGACAAGAAGUUCUAUCAGCUGCUGAGAAAUGAUGCCAGAUGGUAACUCAGAUAUACAAGAAAUACUCAAAUGUGCUGGAAAUGGCCUGGUUGCAGUAUGCUUGAAAUCUGGGAUGUGGAAGACCCUUCCAAUGCAGCUAACCCUCCCUUAUGUAGCGUCCUGCUCGAAGACGCCAGGCCUUACUUCACCACAGUAUUUCAGAAUAGUGUGUACAGAGUAUUAAAGGUUAACUGAGAAGGAUACUACCCAUUUUACUAUGGCACAAUGCCGUGUGUCAAAAACAAUCACCCUUUGGCUUAUUCACAUUAAUAAAAAUCACAAGCUUUAAUAACAGACACUUAAAAAUAAGAUAAAAAUGGAUUGGAAAUUUUUCUGAUUACUAAAAGGUAAAUUACUUUUCUGUUCAUUGAAUGUCAGCCUUAUUAAGCUUGUCAUAUAAGUUAUUAAAUCAUUCAUGUCAUACUGCAUAAACAAAUGUUCAUUUCAGAAUUUUAAAGAGAAAUGUAUAUAAAAGAACAAUGAAUUUUAAUAAAUCAGGGGUAUGUAAGUCCUUUUUCAUCCAACUAGGUGAAUUGCUUCAGAUUUUCUCUAGUACCAGAGGGUACCUCCUCAAACUCUUUGAACCACUUAAGGCAGAAGAAUGCAAGCUCUGAAAUGACAUCCUUAAAAUGCUGAUACUGGUCACAGCCUCUUUACCUCUGUGAGGAAAUUGUAACAGUGUGUCUUUUAAGGUGUUUUUAUUUUACCAGCCCUUAAGAAAGAUCUCUAAUACCUUUUAAUACUUUUUUUUAAUAAUUUCAAGUUGAAGUGUUUUUAAAAACACUUUGUUUUGUAAUGUUUUGAAUCUCUUGAGAUGUGUUUACCCCACUAGAUACAUAUUUGCCACUGGUUAGUUCUCCAUCUAAGCUCAAGAGGUUAUUCAUCUCUCUUUAGAUUCCAGUGGCUUUUCUUUUAACAUCCAGGUAAAACAGAAACUGCUAUGGUAUACAACCAAGUUUUGGGGUUAAACAUAAUCAGAAAAGAAAAUCCAGUUAAAUUUAUGAAGUGAGAUUUUCAGAUCCUAGAUCUUGAAUAAAGGAAAGGUCUUUUCAUCUUGAUGGCCCCAAAGCUUGUUGGUCAUGGUCUUUAUUUCUGGCCACUAUCUUCUUAAAUAAUAUAUUUUUAAGCCCUCAUUUAUUUUUGGUUUUGGGUGAGGAAAGUCAUGUUUUCUAAGUCCUCUCCCCUAAUAAAACCUACCCAACAAUAGUGCUUUGAAAAGUGGUAGUUAUCUUGAAGAUACUCUUGCCAAAUGCAAAGAUAAACAUUCUUUUUGUCUGCUUUAUAAAUAUGAAAUAUGCCAGAUCUAUAGUAUUUUAAUGUGCAUCUACUUUAAAUGAGUCAUCUUGGGGUUUUUAUAAUUCCCUUAUGUUCUUGCCCCUCUACACUUGAAAUAACAAAAUGCCUUAAUUUUAUGGAUUAGUUCUCUUAUAGUAGACAGGCAGCUAUAUGCAGCAAAACCAAUAAAGUUAUUUUUCAACUUUCAUAGUUGUAAAAUAUCUUAUAACAGAAUACAAAACAGCUAAGAAAACAUGCCACAUUUUAUUUUAGCAUUUUCAAAUAAUUUGUUUUUGGUGUAAGCACAGGAUAAAAAAGGAGAGCGUCAAAGAAAAGAGACAUAACACCUAACAUUCAUAAAAAUUAACAAAGUAUAUUUUGGAUGAUGUUUUUACAGGAAAUAUUUUAAAUAAGUUGGUAGAACUUUUAAAAUGGUACUGUAUUAGCUAAUAAAAUAUUCAGUACAAAUAUAUGUUUGGAUUUAUGCAUUAAAAAACUAAUAAAAUUAUUUCCAACUUU